rfam:Elstera litoralis strain Dia-1 c170, whole genome shotgun sequence.
CACUUCUUAGCCUAAGACGGUGUGAUGAGUAUCGCACAAUAGGGAAUAGGGGUGAGGGCUUAAAAUCCCAACUCCCAAGCUGCCCCCGCAACUGUAAGCGGCGAGCCUGUUUUUCAGAAUGCCACUGGAGCCGCCAAAAGCGAUGUUCUGGGAAGGCGAAGAACAGGCCUUGACCCGUGAGCCAGGAGACCUGCCGUCGAAGCUGCCGUUUG